rnacentral:rRNA from 1 species
UGACGGUACCUGCAGAAGAAGCGCCGGCUAACUACGUGCCAGCAGCCGCGGUAAUACGUAGGGCGCAAGCGUUAUCCGGAAUUAUUGGGCGUAAAGAGCUCGUAGGCGGUUUGUCGCGUCUGCCGUGAAAGUCCGGGGCUCAACUCCGGAUCUGCGGUGGGUACGGGCAGACUAGAGUGAUGUAGGGGAGACUGGAAUUCCUGGUGUAGCGGUGAAAUGCGCAGAUAUCAGGAGGAACACCGAUGGCGAAGGCAGGUCUCUGGGCAUUAACUGACGCUGAGGAGCGAAAGCAUGGGGAGCGAACAGGAUUAGAUACCCUGGUAGUCCAUGCCGUAAACGUUGGGCACUAGGUGUGGGGGACAUUCCACGUUUUCCGCGCCGUAGCUAACGCAUUAAGUGCCCCGCCUGGGGAGUACGGCCGCAAGGCUAAAACUCAAAGGAAUUGACGGGGGCCCGCACAAGCGGCGGAGCAUGCGGAUUAAUUCGAGGCAACGCGAAGAACCUUACCAAGGCUUGACAUGAACCGGAGAGAUGUGGUAGCCGGUCCCCCACUUGGGGUCGGUUUUCAGGUGGUGCAUGGUUGUCGUCAGCUCGUGUCGUGAGAUGUUGGGUUAAGUCCCGCAACGAGCGCAACCCUCGUUCUAUGUUGCCAGCACGUGAUGGUGGGGACUCAUAGGAGACUGCCGGGGUGAACUCGGAGGAAGGUGGGGACGACUUCAAAUCAUCAUGCCCCUUAUGUCUUGGGCUUCACGCAUGCUACAAUGGCCGGUACAAAGGGUUGCGAUACUGUGAGGUGGAGCUAAUCCCAAAAAGCCGGUCUCAGUUCGGAUUGGGGUCUGCAACUCGACCCCAUGAAGUCGGAGUCGCUAGUAAUCGCAGAUCAGCAACGCUGCGGUGAAUACGUUCCCGGGCCUUGUACACACCGCCCGUCAAGUCCGAAAAGUUGGUAACACCCGAAGCCGGUGGCCUAACCCCUUGUGGGAGGGAGCUGUCGAAGGUGGGACUGGCGAUUGGGACUAAG